UACGUAGGGGGCUAGCGUUGUCCGGAAUCAUUGGGCGUAAAGCGCGUGUAGGCGGCCCGGUAAGUCCGCUGUGAAAGUCGGGGGCUCAACCCUCGGAUGCCGGUGGAUACUGUCGGGCUCGAGUACGGAAGAGGCGAGUGGAAUUCCUGGUGUAGCGGUGAAAUGCGCAGAUAUCAGGAGGAACACCUAUGGCGAAGGCAGCUCGCUGGGACGGUACUGACGCUGAGACGCGAAAGCGUGGGGAGCGAACAGG
rnacentral:rRNA from 1 species